GACGAACCGUGCGAACGUUGUUCGGAUUCACUGGGCUUAAAGGGCGCGUAGGCGGGGGGUCAAGUCCGAGGUGAAAUCUUUCGGCUCAACCGGAAAAGUGCCUUGGAUACUGAUUUGCUCGAGGGAGGUAGGGGCAUGUGGAACUUCCGGUGGAGCGGUGAAAUGCGUAGAUAUCGGAAGGAACGCCGGUGGCGAAAGCGACGUGCUGGACCUCUUCUGACGCUGAGGCGCGAAAGCCAGGGGAGCAAACGGG
rnacentral:rRNA from 1 species